rnacentral:miRNA from 1 species
AACAUCGUCUUACCAAAAAGUGCAAAGGUAAGGAGAUACGUUCUGCGCAUGCGCAGCCCUAUCUCCUUAAAUACGCAUAAUUUGUUAAAAGGAUAUUAAGCAAAGUUGUAGCCCUCAUCAAGACGAACAACUUUCGUUAACAUCUUCUUACCAAAAAGUGCAAAGGUAAGGAGAUACGUUCUGCGCAUGCGCAGCCCUAUCUCCUUAAAUACGCAUAAUUUGUUAAAAGGAUAUU